rnacentral:rRNA from 1 species
ACGGCGAGUGAAAGGGGAAAAGCCCAGCGCUGAAUCCAUCGGUCACUGAUCGCUUGGAAUUGUAGCGUAUAGGUGCGGCUAUCCGCUCGUUUCGUGCACCCAAAGUCCCCUUGAGCGGGGCCAUAGUCCAAAGAAGGUGCUAGACCUGUACGGGUGGCGAGGCGGUCGGUUGGUCGCUCCUUGGAGUCGGGUUGCCUGGGAUCGCAGCCCAAAGUUGGUGGUAGACCUCAUCUAAGGCUAAAUAUGGCCACGAAACCGAUAGCAAACAAGUACCGUGAGGGAAAGUUGCAAAGAACUUUGAAGAGAGAGUUCAAGAGGGCGUGAAACCGCCGAGAUUGAAACGGAUAGAGUUGACGAAACUCGAUCGCAUUCAUCCGAUCCGCCUAGCGGUUCGGCGGUUGUUGACUUCCUCGAUGAGGGCAGCGCCGUCGCUGGCUGUUGGGUGUUAGAUCGGUGUAUUUGCGGUCGGUAUGCGCCGAGAGCCUUGCGAACGCAUGUUGGCGUUGGUGUAGUGGACCACUCCCUCCGGGCGUGGAACCCUGCACUGACUGAGGCAUGUCGUUGGUAGGGUGUUGCUGGUUGACGUCUCCGCUAUGGUGCGUCGGCUUUGUCGGGCUGUUGUGGCUGCUGGGUGAUCGCAUGCGAGCGCCUGCAGCUUGCAAUGGUACGAUGAGGUGCGGACGCGCUUGGGACGUGCAUCUCGGUGUGAACGUUGACCACCUAUCCGACCCGUCU